AUGGAUAACUUUGUAUUGGCUCAUAGGGAACAACUCUUCUUCAUGAUGUGGCUCACCUUCGCCCACCCUGCUCCUUCCUCCCUAGUUACACGGAUACAGUUGCAUGGCUUGGUCCCAUUGUAUACCGCUGCUACUUCACUUCAGACUAGCACAUUUGUGCUACUACCAAGUUACUCUAUGAGUAGAGAUUUGCCUCAAGUGCCGGUGCAGUGUAUCAUAUCCGUUAAAUUCAAAGAUGGCCCUAGGAAGAAGGCAAUGGUAUUUGAGAAUAUUGGUGGGAAAACAUGGCAUAUUAUAAGGUGGGUCGAUGUCUAA
rnacentral:rRNA from 1 species